rnacentral:rRNA from 1 species
UACAGAGGUCCCAAGCGUUGUUCGGAAUUACUGGGCGUAAAGCGCGUGUAGGCGGGUCUUUAAGUCAGGGGUGAAAUGCCAAGGCUCAACCUUGGAACUGCCUUUGAUACUGGAGAUCUUGAGUCCGGGAGAGGUGAGUGGAAUUGCGAGUGUAGAGGUGAAAUUCGUAGAUAUUCGCAAGAACACCAGUGGCGAAAGCGGCUAUCUGGACCGUAACUGACGCUGAGGCGCGAAAGCGUGGGGAGCAAACAGG